AGAGCGUUUAAGAGAGAGAAACCAGAUCUGUGUGAAACCCUAAGCCGGUGGCCGCCGCAUCUCGCGGUCGCCGGAGUUAGUAUUAAAAUCGUUUGUUUUUUCAUGUUUGCUCACGGAUCCUUUCUUCUCCUCCCUUUAAAGUUGUUUGCUUUGUCCAUUUUCGCUUCAGAUCAGUUUGAUGAGCUUUUGGUUUUCAGAUCUGUUGAAACUUUGGUAGAUCUAUGGGCGUGGAGCGGUUAUUUCGGUGGUGUUCAAGGGUUCACCUGUGUCCGGUCUCCGUCUGCGUCUCUGAUCAAAGUAAGGUUUCAAGCUUUGUGGUUCUCCUGUGAUGUGGUGGCUGUUCCUCAGCCUGUUUGGAGUGGUUCUGCGACAGUUUGAGAGGGUUGAACCCGGUGAAUCUAUCUUGGAUUUUGGAGACGGUCUUAACUAAAUUUUUUUUCUUAUAGGUUUCACCGGUUGCAUGUAAAGGCAAUAUAGCAAUAUUAUAUAUAAGAGACAAGUUGUAUAGGUGAGUUAGGGGUUUUAGAUAGUGAAUUAAUUAUAAUUUGUUUGAAGAUUAUACAGCCCGAUUCUCUUUUUUUCCAAAGCAUUAACCGUACCUACGGACCCACGGAAUGUCUCCGUCAUUCUGCUAUUUUUUUUUUGUUCUAUUUAAAACUAAUUAUUCAAUUUCCUUAAAACGAUUAUCGCCUAAGAGUAUGAUUAAUCUCGGUCUCUUAGCCAGGGUUCUUAACUCAUGAUUUAACAUUUUUUUUACACCUUUUGGCUAAGAGACAGCUCUUAUAUCUCUUAUUUAAGUGAUGGUUUUUAGCUUUUCUUAAUUAAAAUUUAAGAAAAGUUAAGAACCGUCUCUUAACCGAAACUAAGAACCUCAGUUAAGAGACUGGGAUUAAUCAUUGACGAAGUAUUCCUUAUUCUAACUUGUUUCCAUUAUGAGCCGCAGAGCAAGUGAUUAGCUAUAAUAAGCAGAGGGGAUGAACCUAACUUAAAGUUUUGUCUUUCUCUAUUUUCCAAGCUAGGAAACAAGUACUCAUAGCUUUCACGGACCAUACGGCAUUGAUUAGUAUCAAUCAGAAAUAAAACUGAGUUCGCUAUCUGUUAAAAUAAAAAUAAACAGAUAAAUCUUUUGUAAAUUUACUGAUGUAGAAUCUUGAGCUGAUAGUGUACUCAAUCAAUCAGUUUAUAUCAGCUUAAUAUUGUUGAGAGAGCGUUUAAGAGAGAGAAACCAGAUCUGUGUGAAACCCUAAGCCGGUGGCCGCCGCAUCUCGCGGUCGCCGGAGUUAGUAUUAAAAUCGUUUGUUUUUUCAUGUUUGCUCACGGAUCCUUUCUUCUCCUCCCUUUAAAGUUGUUUGCUUUGUCCAUUUUCGCUUCAGAUCAGUUUGAUGAGCUUUUGGUUUUCAGAUCUGUUGAAACUUUGGUAGAUCUAUGGGCGUGGAGCGGUUAUUUCGGUGGUGUUCAAGGGUUCACCUGUGUCCGGUCUCCGUCUGCGUCUCUGAUCAAAGUAAGGUUUCAAGCUUUGUGGUUCUCCUGUGAUGUGGUGGCUGUUCCUCAGCCUGUUUGGAGUGGUUCUGCGACAGUUUGAGAGGGUUGAACCCGGUGAAUCUAUCUUGGAUUUUGGAGACGGUCUUAACUAAUCUUUGAUUUAGCAACGGUAUAGCAGUGUCGUGAUUGUGUGUGGUGAGCAAGAGAAGGUCACGGUCCUUGAGAUGAAGAUGGUUUCAGGUUACCUCUUUAUCUCCUGGUUACGAAUGUCCCUCCUUUGCACCUUGAAUAAAUGUUCUUCCUGGAUAUUUUUAGUCUCUGUUUUCCUCUAUGGCUUCGUAUGGUGAAGCAACAUAGCGAGGUUGAGGCGUAGAGAUAUCCAGAUGAAGGUGCGGUCGAGGUGGAGCUUAUCUUGGAUUGUGUCGCUUCACGGAUUGUGCCUUGGUGUAGGCGUUGUGUUUCGGUAGUUGUCAUCAUGAACAAGUGGUUCAGAUGAGGUUUUGUUGGUUCUGGCGUUGUCAUUGUGAACUUGGGGUUCAAAUGAAGUAUCUGCUCUGUUGCGUUGCGUGCUAUCUCGCCUAGUUCAUGGCAAGAAAUCCGGCUGCUCAUAGAUUAUUAAGUUCUUAUCUUUUCUAUCUAAUAUUGAUUUGUGUGUGGGUUUGUUGUAGGAGUUUAGGAUUUUGUUUAUGUCUCAGCUGUUCAUGUGUCACCCAUGUGUUUGGGUUUUAGAUCCCUGUCUUUUGGGUUUAGCUUCCGGGGAGGUCUAUGUGUUCCGCCGGCUUCAGUGUAUCCUUCUUAUGUUAUCUAUGAAAUUUCAGAUGGAAAAAAAAAA
rnacentral:lncRNA from 1 species